rnacentral:rRNA from 1 species
AUGUGCUGGCUUCCAACUGGAUUUGCCUUCACCGCCGCGACGAAAGAUCUGGCCGCCCUGAAUUCCACCGAGUACUACGAGUCCUCCUCCUCCUCUUCUUCUGCCGUCGCCUUCAUAGGGUUCGAGCUCCCGCACAUCUCGCCAGUGGACGGCUGGGCGCCGCUGCCAGCAUCGCUCGACUUCGCCGGACUCAUGGCUGCGACGGGGGGCGAGGACGGUGCGCUGCACGACCGGGAACAGGGGAGAAGAAGGGGGAAACGGGGGAAGAAGACGGGGGAAACGGGGGAUAAGAGGAAACAGAAUGAACGGCGCCGUCUAACGGCGUCUAACGGCUGUCGGACCAGCUGA